rnacentral:lncRNA from 1 species
AUGCAUUUCUCUGCUGUUUCUCUCCCCGCUGAGUUUGGUUCCUCGUGGAGGACGGAUGGCAGACAUUUCACUCUGGGACCUGAUGCCUACGCAUCUGAAAGACUUCCCCAGGUGACUGGAUCUAAGAACCACCGUCUGCCUUUGAGUAGAAUUUCUACAUACAUAACAUUCACCGAUGGAUGGAACAUGGCCACAGCUCUAAAAUCGCAGGGAGCUUUAGCAGAAGAAAAUAGAAGAUCACAGCUGUCCCCGUGGACUAAGCUGGCAGAACCAAGUGGCGCAUGUUCAUCAUCAAGUCCAUGGGCGGCUACUGUGGCUACCUGGCCAACAUGGGCGGCUUGCGGCCGGAGCCGAUGCUGUAAACAUGUUCGAAGAGCCCUUCGGCAUCAGGGAUCUGCAGGUAUGUGACGGGGGCUGGCCUUGUGGGACCAUCCCCUUUGGAUCCUGUCGGUGCUGUGGAGUGAAACAUCGUGUCUAGGGUGGUUUGAUUUUCAAGGGGGCAUGGAGACGGAGGUGCUACAGAAAAUGCCAUGCUUGAUGCCCUUCGCAUCACCCAGGUGCGUCUCCCAAGUGUCAGGUGAUGGCGGACGUGCCUGGUUGAGGACACCUUCUAGUCUCGUGAGUGAAACACAAGCUUGUUUUUUUUGAUGUAGUAUGUUCUGUAGUUAAUGUUUUCUCACUUCUGUCACAAACAAUUUGAGUGCCUCUGCUGACAGUCACCACCCACGUCUGUGACUGUCUCUGAAGCUUGCUGCAGCGUUUUUAAAAUCUUGAGACCUCUGAUGCUGCAUCUGCCUCUAAACUGAGACAGACACGGCCGUGGUUUCUUGGCAUCUGUGGCUCUUUUAAGGAAGGGUGUCACUGACCCUGGGGUCUGCUUCUGCUUUGACGGCACAGCAGAAUCCUAGGCCUGGACCCUGCAGUGUUCAAAGUUGUUAAACUCCAUGCAGGAUGACAGGCCUUGGUAGAUAAAAUGCAACUUGAACAAUUGUCUUUAGUUAGUUAUAUAAAUAAAUAUAUAAUAUUAUAUAUUGCUCUGCA